rnacentral:sRNA from 1 species
AUCGAACGUGUUGAGUGAAGGAGACGUAAAAUGUAUAUGGAUUCCGUCGUAAUUGCAGGGAUUGUAACGGUUCUGCUGAUGCUGGGAUUUUUUAUCGGGGUCGGCAUCUUCGUCAUGAGAGACGAGAAACGCCAUGGUCAUGCAGGGUUGCAUCAUCAUG